AGGAGGACAUAUGUGGUGUGGU
rnacentral:miRNA from 1 species